CCAAGACAGGCGGUACUAAAUGUUUAAAACCAGUGUUAACUUAUUUUCUCUCUCAUAUAGUACAAUGUAGGACACUAGGGAGUGUCAUGGCUGUCUUUCUGUGGGCGCGGUGAUCCAAUUAACACUCUGUGGCUCAAAGAUUGCUGUUUAUUCCAUCCAACUCCUCAGACUUGCACACCUACUCUCCAUCAACUCAUCAACUCAACAGUAUAUAUACCCUGGCUCUCAAUCCACUCGCCAGAUCGUUCUUUCAGCUACGGUUCACCACCUGCCUUCUUGGAUUCAAAGCCUCUCAAUCAACUAGGCUCACAUCGCAACUCUGCUCUGAUCAGCCGUCUCCCUUUCACUCUGCAGACCUUGUGAAUCAUCGUCUCAUCUCCCUUCCUCUGCAAUAAACCUCAUUACAAGUCAA